AGCGAACGCUGGCGGCAGGCUUAACACAUGCAAGUCGAGCGGGCAUCCUUGUGGUGUCAGCGGCAGACGGGUGAGUAACGCGUGGGAACGUGCCCUGCGGUUCGGAAUAACUCAGGGAAACUUGAGCUAAUACCGGAUACGUGCGAGAGCAGAAAGGUUUAUCUGCCGAAGGAUCGGCCCGCGUCUGAUUAGCUAGUUGGUGAGGUUAUGGCUAACCAAGGCGACGAUCAGUAGCUGGUCUGAGAGGAUGAUCAGCCACACUGGGACUGAGGCACGGCCCAGACUCCUACGGGAGGCAGCAGUGGGGAAUAUUGGACAAUGGGGCAACCCUGAUCCAGCCAUGCCGCGUGAGUGAUGACGGCCUUAGGGUUGUAAAGCUCUUUUCUCCGGGACGAUAAUGACGGUACCGGAGGAAUAAGCCCCGGCUAACUUCGUG
rnacentral:rRNA from 1 species